UAGGAGAGAGAAGUAAGUCGCUCUGGAUAAGAGCGUCUGCUAAAUGACUUAAA
rfam:Salmo salar isolate Sally breed double haploid chromosome ssa05, whole genome shotgun sequence.